rnacentral:lncRNA from 1 species
CAGAAUUCUAAUCCCUAGGCCACGAUCAGCUCUACGUAGUAUUUUUUAUUUUAUGGCACAGAGUGGUGACUUGUCGGAAAACUAGCCGAAUGAAAUAUAAGCCCCAGGUGUCUGUCAGGCUUCCGACUCCGAGAGGAAAAGAGGAAAGCCCACUCCCUGACAGGGCUCACCGUGCCGCGAGCAGAAAUGAAUUUCUAUGGAAGGAAGAAGAAAGGCAUUUGAGCCUGAUAUAUACUUCCCAGUAAGUCAACUCAUCAUACUUAUUUUUAAAAAUCUUAUAUACAUA